rnacentral:tRNA from 1 species
AGUAUAUUAAGAUAUGUAUUCUAUUAGUUUUCAAAGCUAAAAGUGCUUUCUAAUAUGAAUUUAC